CCUACGGGAGGCUGCAGUAGGGAAUCUUCCACAAUGGACGCAAGUCUGAUGGAGCAAUGCCGCGUGAGGGAAGAAGGCUUUCGGCUCGUAAAGCACUGUUGGUGGUGACGAAAGAGAGAUGUCGUAACUAUCCUUCAUCUGACGGUAAUCACUGAAUAAGUCACGGCUAACUACGUGCCAGCAGCCGCGGUAAUACGUAGGUGGCAAGCGUUGUCCGGAUUUAUUGGGCGUAAAGCGUGUGCAGGCGGUUGAAUAAGUCUGAUGUGAAAGCCUUGGGCUCAACCGGGGAAACGCAUAAGAAACUGUUGGACUAGAGUGCAGAAGAGGAGAGUGGAAUGCCAUGUGUAGCGGUGGAAUGCGUAGAUAUAUGGAAGAACACCAGUGGCGAAGGCGG
rnacentral:rRNA from 1 species